UACGUAGGGCGCGAGCGUUGUCCGGAAUUAUUGGGCGUAAAGAGCUCGUAGGCGGCCUGUUGCGUCCGCUGUGAAAUCCCGGGGCUUAACCCCGGGCGUGCAGUGGAUACGGGCUGGCUGGAGGCAGGCAGGGGAGAACGGAAUUCCCGGUGUAGCGGUGAAAUUCGUAGAUAUCGGGAGGAACACCGGUGGCGAAGGCGGCGACCUGGGUCGAGACUGACGCUGAGGCGCGAAAGCGUGGGGAGCAAACAGG
rnacentral:rRNA from 1 species